rnacentral:rRNA from 1 species
AACGUAGGACGCAAGCGUUAUCCGGAGUUACUGGGCGUAAAGCGCGGGCAGGCGGCUCGAAACGUCUGAUGUGAAAUCUCCUCGCUCAACGGGGAGAGGCCAUUGGAAACGGUCGAGCUGGAGGGCAGUAGAGGUAGGCGGAAUUCCGGGUGGAGUGGCGAAAUGCGUAGAGAUCCGGAGGAACACCAGAGGCGAAGGCGGCCUACUGGGCUGCACCUGACGCUGAGCCGCGAAAGCCAGGGGAGCGAACGGG